rnacentral:rRNA from 1 species
UACGAAGGGUGCAAGCGUUACUCGGAAUUACUGGGCGUAAAGCGUGCGUAGGUGGUUUUUUAAGUCCGUUGUGAAAGCCCUGGGCUCAACCUGGGAAUGGCAGUGGAUACUGGAAAGCUAGAGUGCGGUAGAGGGUAGUGGAAUUCCCGGUGUAGCAGUGAAAUGCGUAGAGAUCGGGAGGAACACCAGUGGCGAAGGCGGCUACCUGGACCAGCACUGACACUGAGGCACGAAGGCGUGGGGAGCGAACGGG